UUUAAACUCAUAAUAAUUUUUGUGUUUCAGAUAAUAAUAAUAAUCCAUUUCAAAUAUACUUUGUUCCAUAAAAAUUGUCCGUAUUAUUAAUAAAGAAUAAUAAUAUUAUUUAAUUGUAUUAGGUGGAAAUGGACAAUGUGGAAAUUAUAAUGGUCUAAUCUCGUGAUUUAUAAUUUGUAAAAACUGUAAAUACUGUGAUGGAAUAUUUAAAACGACUCUGGUGAAAAAAGAAAAUUCAUGAAUCUAAGCACAUGUGAACUUAUUACGAACACAAUUGCUCAAUUUUUUUCUGUAGAAGAUAAAGUCGAGAUAAGAUCCGAGAUAUCGUAUGGAUUUGUUCAAUUGCCAUUAAUAAAUUUGUAAUAAUUUGUAAUGAAAUGACAACAUUCGUUUCAUUAAAAUCCACUGCGUUAUGUUUUCUUGUGAAAAUGGUGAAGGAAGUUUUGACUCUAGUCUUCUUAAAUAUGAAAAAAUUCAUCCAAUAUGCACACUGUCAUUGCACAUACGUAAAUUUUAAGAUGGGCAAUUUUAAGAUGUUAUGCAGAAGCACAAUCGUUAACUUUAAGGCUAUUCUAUUCUAUCAUCUUUAAACGUAAUGAAACGAAGCAAGAAAUUUGGUUAUCAGAUAUAGGAACUUUUGGUCCUUCGUUACAACAUGUAUCUAAAAAUAUAAUGACAGUAAAAUACUAAGCUUGGAUUAAACAUCCAUCAGAAUUUAAAUUUGUAAAUAUUAAUUUAGAUGAAAAUGAUUUAUGCGUAUCAAAAGAACAUUAACAUUAACGUAUCACGUAUCACAAGAUGAUAAUAUAAGAAGAUAAAAUGGUAAAGCAUUGGUAAGAAGAUUGGUGUGAAAUAUUUUUAUGAAAUAUUCAUGUCAUUUAAAUAAAAUUUUAAAUCUCGAUAAUCUAACUACGGAUGAUGCAGAUACAGAUGUUUCGAGAUGAUACUUUAACACUUGAAAAUUUAGAUGGAAAUAGAUUAUAUUUGGAUUCAACGACUCAAUUUAGAAUCUACAAUUUUACCAUACAAUAUCGUUGAAAAUUUUGAAGUUGGAUGUAAUCAUUCCGUAUUAGAGAAUAAUAUGAUAUCUACUUAUAUUUUUAUAUAUAAGAUAUAUUCAAUGAUAGGCAAUGAUAGAAAUUGGCAUGGUGAAAUUAAAUAGAAGUUUGAAAAUGAUAUAAUAAGCCGUAUUAUAAUUGAACAAAUAAGUCAUAGAAAAAAAGGAAUUUUUUUAAUAAUUCAAAUUAUUUCUCGAUUUAUAUCAUACAUUAUUGUCCUGCAAUAUUGAUAUUGCAUUUUGAUCAAUUACAAAUAUUACAAAAGAUAUAAAUUCAGGUUGAUUAUUUCGAUUAAUUCAUAUAAAUGGUGUUUCACUUUAUUUUAUAGUUAUAUACAUUCAUAAUAGAUGUAAUAUAUUUUACUAUUCGUAUAAAUUACUUAGAGUAUGAGAAAUUGGAAAUUGGAAUUUUAAUUCUUUUAAUAUCAGUAGCAGCAGCAUUUAUAGGUUAUGAUUUAUCUUGAAGACAAAUAUCAUUGAUAAGCUACAGUUAUUACAAUUUUACUAAUUCCAUACAUUGGAAAAUUGUAUUACGAAUUUGAAGUGGAUUUUCACUUAAUAACGUCACUUUAAAUCGAUUUCUUUCAUUACAUUUUAUUUUAACAAUAGUAAUUUUAUUUAUAAUUAUUUUACAUUUAUUUGCACUUCAUUUAACUGGUUCAUCAAAUCCAUUAGGUUCAAAUUACAACAAUUAUAAAAUUUCAUUUCAUUCAUAUUUUUCAAUUCAAGAUCUAUUAUGA